rnacentral:rRNA from 1 species
CAAUAGCGUAUAUUUAAGUUGCUGCAGUUAAAAAGCUCGUAGUUGGAUUUCGGGUGGGAAUGGCCGGUCCGCCGUUUCGGUGUGCACUUGCUACGCCCACCUUGCUGCCGGGGACGUGCUCUUGAGUUCACGCUCGGGACACGGAGUCGGCGAGGUUACUUUGAGUAAAUUAGAGUGUUCAAAGCAGGCCUACGCUCUGAAUACAUUAGCAUGGAAUAACACGAUAGGACUCUGGCCUAUCUUGUUGGUCUGUAGGACCGGAGUAAUGAUUAAGAGGGACAGUCGGGGGCAUUCGUAUUUCAUUGUCAGAGGCGAAAUUCUUGGAUUUAUGAAAGACGAACUACUGCGAAAGCAUUUGCCAAGGAUGUUUUCAUUAA